AACGUAGGUGGCGAGCGUUAUCCGGAUUUACUGGGCGUAAAGCGUGUGCAGGCGGCUUAUCAAGUGGUGUAUGAAAUAUCCAGCUCAACCUGGAGGGGUUAUGCCAGACUGGUAGGCUAGAGUGCGAGAGAGGGGCGUGGAAUUCCGGGUGUAGUGGUGAAAUGCGUAGAGAUCCGGAGGAACCCCAGAGGCGAAGGCGGCUUACUGGGUCUUCUCUGACGCUGAGGCACGAAAGCUAGGGUAGCAAACGGG
rnacentral:rRNA from 1 species